rnacentral:rRNA from 1 species
GACGAACGCUGGCGGCGUGCUUAACACAUGCCAGUCGAACGGAAAGGCCCUGCUUUUGUGGGGUGCUCGAGUGGCGAACGGGUGAGUAACACGUGAGUAACCUGCCCUUGACUUUGGGAUAACUUCAGGAAACUGGGGCUAAUACCGGAUAGGAGCUCCUGCUGCAUGGUGGGGGUUGGAAAGUUUCGGCGGUUGGGGAUGGACUCGCGGCUUAUCAGCUUGUUGGUGGGGUAGUGGCUUACCAAGGCUUUGACGGGUAGCCGGCCUGAGAGGGUGACCGGCCACAUUGGGACUGAGAUACGGCCCAGACUCCUACGGGAGGCAGCAGUGGGGAAUAUUGCACAAUGGGCGGAAGCCUGAUGCAGCAACGCCGCGUGCGGGAUGACGGCCUUCGGGUUGUAAACCGCUUUCGCCUGUGACGAAGCGUGAGUGACGGUAAUGGGUAAAGAAGUACCAGCUAACUACGUG